GCCCUGUGGUUACUGGAUGCUGUUGUGCACGUACAGCUCUCCAGUGGAUGUGAGGGGCCAGAGCAAUCCUGUGAUGUAUGCAUGGGGGCUGUUUCUCUUCAGCAGCAACCAUAGCCCGGUCACUGAUACAUAG
rnacentral:snoRNA from 9 species